rnacentral:pre_miRNA from 1 species
AACAGCAAAAACACCUUGUCUGGAUCGGGUUUCGCGGCAAACGGGCUGUACUGAUUCGUGGAAAAUCAGUUCGUUGUCGACGAAACCUGCACACUGCAAGGUUGUAACAACUG